GAUGAACGCUGGCGGCGUGCCUAAUACAUGCAAGUCGAGCGAACAGACGAGGAGCUUGCUCCACUGACGUUAGCGGCGGGCGGGAGAGGAACAUAAGGUUACCCUACCUUUAGGAUAGGGCUAACUUAGUGAAACCGGAGCUAAAUACGGAUAAUUUCUUGAUCCUCGGGGUUCGAAAGCUACGGCGGUUUUGGCUGGACCUUAUAGCUGUCUCCGCGCCGCAUUGGCUAGUUGGUAAGGUAACGGCUUACGAAGGCAAGGAUGCGUGGCCGACCUGAGAGGGUGAACGGCCACACUGGAGCUGAGACACGGUACAGACUCCUACGGGAGGCAGCAGUAGGGAAUCUUCCGCAAAGGGCGAAAGCUUGACGGAGCAACGCCGCGUGAGUGAUGAAGGGCUUCGGAUCGUAAAACUCUGUUAGUAGUGAAGAACAAAUGUGUAAGUAACUAUGCACGUCUUGACGGUACCUAAUGAGAAAGCAACGGCUAACUACGUG
rnacentral:rRNA from 1 species